rnacentral:lncRNA from 1 species
GUGAGUUCUGUGGAGCAUGUUCUGCUGGGAGGGUGAGCUCUUCUCUCCUCUUCUACCAUCCCUGCUUCUUUACCGGGAGCAGCCCUGUGUGACAUGGUGAUAGGCAAGGAUCGAAGGUGCCUUUGCUGGGCGCUGUGAGCAGAGAGAGCCUCACCUUCCCCUUGCCACAUCUGGAGUCUUCAAGGAAGUGAGAAGUGUUCAUGUUGCAGCUGCAGCCCCUUUCAUAACAAGUUCGGACUGAAGACUCCAACAACAACUUUAAGAUCAACCAAAAAUUUCCACCAUUAUGGCUACCGAAUCUAAUCCCUGGACCUUAAUGCACAAUCUUGCUUCUUGGUCUGGUUCAUUAUUUCCUAUCUUCUUUUCCUCCCUCAGAAAAACAAGUCCAUUCAUAGUUACAGUUGUGGGAUGUGGGGAGGAGCCCUCGCCUGUGCCCUAGAAAGGAAAGCACUGAAGGAAGGGGGCCACUAAUUAGCUGGUCCCAGAGCUUCAUGAAGCUGGCAUGGUUUCUUUAUUUUUAAGGCUUCAAGGCAGGGGCCAGACUGGGCAAAGAACAAUGAGAGCAUCGCAGAGGUGAUGCUUUUAAUGAUACAGUCACUAAUGAAAUGGCACUCCACGGGUUCACUUAUUAGUAACUUAGCUCAAACAGCCAUGUCCCACUGUCAGCUUGCCACUGAAGACCCAGUGUGACCUCAGAAUUGUCAGCUCCACCUGGAAAAGAGCAGAUGUAGCAGGAAAUCCAGAAGCAGCCAGCAUAAUUUGGAGCGGGAAGAUUAACAACAGAGAGGGCCGUGGGGAUCUCUGCAUCUCCAGUUUACUGGGACGUUAAGCCGGAAGCAGAGCUUCCACGAAGAACAGGCUAACCUUGCACUACUUGGGUUGCAUCUGAUUUGUAAACAAUGGAACGACUUGAUUGAAUGUUUUUGGAGGCUUGGAUGACAGUGUUGGUAUUAGAGGAGUGACGAGCACAACUCCAUUCUCCGCUAAUUAUAUACUGUAGCUCUUUCUGAUGUUUUUUCAGGGCACAGAGAUUUCUAACUUUAUGUUUGGAAAAUGAUUUAUGGGGAAAACACUUCCGUACAAAUCUUGCUUGACAACUGGGGCAUCGUGAAGGAUAUAUAGAUGUAAAAUUUUAUGACGCUUUCCAUUUCUGUUUGUAUUUGUUUGAAUAACUCAGUAUCCUUUACAUAAAUUAUUGAAUUACACAUGCUAAUAUGCCUCUACCACAUGGGAAUUGUAUUUACCUUUGAAUUUAGAAUUGGACAGGAAGGGCCGUCAUGUUGGGAACUGUCUUUUUGAGGGAUAAACCAUAUCUUACACCUCUGGUUGGCUUGCAUCUAUGUUUAAAAACUACUCCCUAGAAUAUACACUCAUAAAUGGAAUUUUCUCCUUUAAAUGCCCAUGUAUGUCCUUAUUAAC